CAGCAGCCGCGGGAAUACGAAGGGUGCAAGCGUUAAUCGGAAUUACUGGGCGUAAAGCGUGCGUAGGCGGUGAGUUAAGUCUGCUGUGAAAUCCCCGGGCUCAACCUGGGAAUGGCAGUGGAUACUGGCUCGCUAGAGUGUGUCAGAGGAUGGUGGAAUUCCCGGUGUAGCGGUGAAAUGCGUAGAGAUCGGGAGGAACAUCAGUGGCGAAGGCGGCCAUCUGGGACAACACUGACGCUGAGGCACGAAAGCGUAGGGAGCAAACAGGAUUAGAUACCCGAGUAGUCCCUGUCUCUUAUAC
rnacentral:rRNA from 1 species